ACAGCAGCAGCCGCGGGAAUACGUAGGUGGCAAGCGUUGUCCGGAAUUAUUGGGCGUAAAGGGCUCGCAGGCGGUUUCUUAAGUCUGAUGUGAAAGCCCCCGGCUCAACCGGGGAGGGUCAUUGGAAACAGGGAAACUUGAGUGCAGAAGAGGAGAGUGGAAUUCCACGUGUAGCGGUGAAAUGCGUAGAGAUGUGGAGGAACACCAGUGGCGAAGGCGACUCUCUGGUCUGUAACUGACGCUGAGGAGCGAAAGCGUGGGGAGCGAACAGGAUUAGAUACCCCCGUAGUCCCUGUCUCUUAUAC
rnacentral:rRNA from 1 species